UUUUAAUGAUGAAAAUAACAGACCUGAUUUGAAAAAAAAAAUUUGAGAAUAUUUUUUCUACUUCUGAAAAAA
rnacentral:snoRNA from 2 species